UAUGUCAACAAGACUAUACAAAUAAACGAACAGCUUCACAGUAUAUUCGUUCAAUCAUACAUUCCAACACAUUCGUAUAUAAGCCAACUGUGCUUUGAAAGGGUUCAACAUACUUUGUGUCAUUUGACACUUGCUACAAUGUGCCUAUACACCUUGCCCUUAUUCUCGCCAACCAGGUGAUGAAAUGUACAACUCGUACUCUCCUUCGUACCACCAACCAGGUGAUGAAAUGUACAACCCGUACUCUAAUA
rnacentral:lncRNA from 1 species